AGGAUUAACGCUGGCGGCGUGCCUGACACAUGCAAGUCGAACGAGGUCGCAAGACCGAGUGGCGGACGGGUGAGUAACACGUGACCAACCUACCCCGAAGAUCGGGAUAACGGCGGGAAACUGCCGCUAAUACCGAAUGCCCCCACGAGCCCGCAUGGGUUUGUGAGGAAAGGAUUCUGCUUCGGGAGGGGCUCGCGGCCUAUCAGCUUGUUGGUGGGUAACGGCCUACCAAGGCGACGACGGGUAGCUGGUCUGAGAGGAUGAUCAGCCACACUGGGACUGAGACACGGCCCAGACUCCUACGGGAGGCAGC
rnacentral:rRNA from 1 species